GACGAACGCUGGCGGCGUGCUUAACACAUGCAAGUCGAACGGAAAGGCUCCAGCUUGCUGGAGUGCUCGAGUGGCGAACGGGUGAGUAACACGUGGGCAAUCUGCCCUGCACUCUGGGAUAAGCCUGGGAAACUGGGUCUAAUACCGGAUAGGACCUUUCUCCUCAUGGGGUUUGGUGGAAAGUUUUUCGGUGCAGGAUGAGCCCGCGGCCUAUCAGCUUGUUGGUGGGGUAAUGGCCUACCAAGGCGACGACGGGUAGCCGGCCUGGGAGGGUGAUCGGCCACAUUGGGACUGAGAUACGGCCCAGACUCCUACGGGAGGCAGCAGUGGGGAAUAUUGCACAAUGGGCGAAAGCCUGAUGCAGCGACGCCGCGUGAGGGAUGACGGCCUUCGGGUUGUAAACCUCUUUCAGUAGGGACGAAGCGCAAGUGACGGUACCUGCAGAAGAAGCACCGGCUAACUACGUG
rnacentral:rRNA from 1 species